GCUGUUUCAUUUAAAAUUUAAUUAGAAUUUUAUUUUUUAGUUAAAAAGCUAAAAUAUAUUCAAAAGACGAGAAGACCCUAUAAAUCUUGAUUAUUUAAUAAUUUUUAGUUUAUUUUGAUUUUUUUUGUUAUAAAUUUAUUAAUUAAUUUUAUUGGGGUGAUAUUAAAAUUUAAAUAACUUUUAAUAAUUUUUAUCAUUUAUUUAUGAUUAAGUGAUCCAUUAUUAGUGAUUAAAAAAUUAAGUUACUUUAGGGAUAACAGCGUAAUUUUUUUGGAGAGUUCUUAUCGAUAAAAAAGUUUGCGACCUCGAUGUUGGAUUAAGAUUCAUAUUUAAAUGUAGAAGUUUAAAUAUAAAGUCUGUUCGACUUUUUAUUCUUACAUGAUCUGAGUUCAAACCGGUGUAAGCCAGGUUGGUUUCUAUCUUUGAUUUAGUAAAAUAUUUUAGUACGAAAGGAAUUAAUAUUUAUUUUUUAAAAAUUAAUUUAUGAA
rnacentral:rRNA from 1 species